CGCUGGCGGCGUGCCUAAUACAUGCAAGUCGCACGCACCGGUUUACCGGUGAGUGGCGAACGGGUGAGUAACACGUGGGCAACCUGCCCCCAAGACGAGGAUAACCGCUGGAAACGGCGGCUAAGACUGGAUAGGACCAAGGAAGGCAUCUUCCCUGGUUUAAAAGACCUUCGGGUAUGCUUGGGGAGGGGCCCGCGGCGCAUUAGCUAGUUGGUGGGGUAAAAGCCUACCAAGGCGAUGAUGCGUAGCCGGACUGAGAGGUUGGACGGCCACACUGGGACUGAGAGACGGCCCAUACUCCUACGGGAGGCAGCAGCAGGGAAUAUUGCACAAUGGACGGAAGUCUGAUGCAGCGACGCCGCGUGGAUGAAGAAGGCCUUCGGGUUGUAAAAUCCUUUUCGGGGGGAAGAGAGAGGACGGUACCCUCGGAAUAAGCGUCGGCUAACUACGUGCCAGCAGCCGCGGUAAUACGUAGGACGCGAGCGUUAUCCGGAUUUACUGGGCGUAAAGCGUCUGUAGGCGGUGGCGUAAGUUGGGCGUGAAAGCUCCGGGCUUAACCCGGAGAGGCCGCACAAUACUGCGCGACCUAGAGGGCGUGAGAGGGGAGCGGNAAUUUCCCGGUGUAGCGGUAAAAUGCGCAGAUAUCGGGAGGAACACCCAGUGGCGCAGGCGNGCUCCCUGGUGCGCACCUGACGCUGAGAGACGAAAGCUAGGGGAGCAAACAGGAUUAGAUUACCCUGGUAGUCCUAGCCGUAACGAUGGGCACUANGGUGUGGGAGGUCAUCGAACUCCUUCCGUGCCGCAGCUNACGCAUUAAGUGCCCCGCCCUGGGGAGU
rnacentral:rRNA from 1 species